CAUGCCUGUUCGAGCGUCAUUAUAACCAAUCAAGCCUGGCUUGGUAUUGGGGUUCGCGGUCCCGCGGCCCUUAAAAUCAGUGGCGGUGCGUCCGGCUCUAAGCGUAGUAAUUUUCUCGCUAUGGUGUCCGGGUAGUUACCUGCCAGAAUCCCCAUUUCACGGUUGACCUCGGAUCAGGUAGGGAUACCCGCUGAACUUAA
rnacentral:misc_RNA from 1 species